rnacentral:rRNA from 2 species
AAAUCCGGUUCACUUUAACACUGAGGCGUGACGACGAGGCACUACGGUGCUGAAGCAACAAAUGCCCUGCUUCCAGGAAAAGCCUCUAAGCAUCAGGUAACAUCAAAUCGUACCCCAAACCGACACAGGUGGUCAGGUAGAGAAUACCAAGGCGCUUGAGAGAACUCGGGUGAAGGAACUAGGCAAAAUGGUGCCGUAACUUCGGGAGAAGGCACGCUGACACGUAGGUGAAGUGAUUUACUCAUGGAGCUGAAGUCAGUCGAAGAUACCAGCUGGCUGCAACUGUUUAUUAAAAACACAGCACUGUGCAAACACGAAAGUGGACGUAUACGGUGUGACGCCUGCCCGGUGCCGGAAGGUUAAUUGAUGGGGUCAGCGCAAGCGAAGCUCCUGAUCGAAGCCCCGGUAAACGGCGGCCGUAACUAUAACGGUCCUAAGGUAGCGAAAUUCCUUGUCGGGUAAGUUCCGACCUGCACGAAUGGCGUAAUGAUGGCCAGGCUGUCUCCACCCGAGACUCAGUGAAAUUGAACUCGCUGUGAAGAUGCAGUGUACCCGCGGCAAGACGGAAAGACCCCGUGAACCUUUACUAUAGCUUGACACUGAACAUUGAGCCUUGAUGUGUAGGAUAGGUGGGAGGCUUUGAAGUGUGGACGCCAGUCUGCAUGGAGCCGACCUUGAAAUACCACCCUUUAAUGUUUGAUGUUCUAACGUGGACCCGUUACCCGGGUUGCGGACAGUGUCUGGUGGGUAGUUUGACUGGGGCGGUCUCCUCCUAAAGAGUAACGGAGGAGCACGAAGGUUGGCUAAUCCUGGUCGGACAUCAGGAGGUUAGUGCAAUGGCAUAAGCCAGCUUGACUGCGAGCGUGACGGCGCGAGCAGGUGCGAAAGCAGGUCAUAGUGAUCCGGUGGUUCUGAAUGGAAGGGCCAUCGCUCAACGGAUAAAAGGUACUCCGGGGAUAACAGGCUGAUACCGCCCAAGAGUUCAUAUCGACGGCGGUGUUUGGCACCUCGAUGUCGGCUCAUCACAUCCUGGGGCUGAAGUAGGUCCCAAGGGUAUGGCUGUUCGCCAUUUAAAGUGGUACGCGAGCUGGGUUUAGAACGUCGUGAGACAGUUCGGUCCCUAUCUGCCGUGGGCGCUGGAGAACUGAGGGGGGCUGCUCCUAGUACGAGAGGACCGGAGUGGACGCAUCACUGGUGUUCGGGUUGUCAUGCCAAUGGCACUGCCCGGUAGCUAAAUGCGGAAGAGAUAAGUGCUGAAAGCAUCUAAGCACGAAACUUGCCCCGAGAUGAGUUCUCCCUGAGACUUAAAGUCUCCUGAAGGAACGUUGAAGACGACGACGUUGAUAGGCCGGG